GACGAACGCUGGCGGCGUGCUUAACACAUGCAAGUCGAACGGAAAGGCCCUGCUUUUGUGGGGUGCUCGAGUGGCGAACGGGUGAGUAACACGUGAGUAACCUGCCCUUGACUUUGGGAUAACUUCAGGAAACUGGGGCUAAUACCGGAUAGGAGCUCCUGCUGCAUGGUGGGGGUUGGAAAGUUUCGGCGGUUGGGGAUGGACUCGCGGCUUAUCAGCUUGUUGGUGGGGUAGUGGCUUACCAAGGCUUUGACGGGUAGCCGGCCUGAGAGGGUGACCGGCCACAUUGGGACUGAGAUACGGCCCAGACUCCUACUGGAGGCAGCAGUGCAGAAUAUUACACAAUGGGCGGAAGCCUGAUGCAGCAACGCCGCGUGCGGGAUGACGGCCUUCGGGUUGUAAACCGCUUUCGCCUGUGACGAAGCGUGAGUGACGGUAAUGGGUAAAGAAGCACCGGCUAACUACGUG
rnacentral:rRNA from 1 species